GCUCCUAAUUUAGGAUAAGUCGUAACAAAGUAGAUUUAUUGGAAAAUGAAUCUAGAAUGUC
rnacentral:rRNA from 1 species